GCACAAUGAGUUCGCGGCGAACGUCGGGGUGUUUCUCCGAAGGGGUGGGUUCGAUUCCCACAUUUUGCA
rnacentral:tRNA from 1 species